rnacentral:misc_RNA from 1 species
GUCUUUAUCGAAUUGCCUACUGACAAAAGUUUACAGUUUAUCAAUAGUUUCACAUAAAUAGUACUACUUCCACAUAGUACAGUGCAAUGUGAUAUCCGAAUUGGCUGACAAAAUUAUAUAAUAACACGAAAUAUAUGCAAGGCAAUAUAAGGUAUAUGUAUAGCUUGGAAAUUGUGAUCGUUGCUCGCUCGCUCCGCUCGCUCGUAAAAAUCUAGUCCCACCUCACAACCGAUCCGACACGUUCCCAAAUUUGAAAUAAGUCUCCUCCAUCUCAAAUAUCGAACGCAAGAGGGAUAGGUUUUAGGUUAGGCUAUAGUCUUCGAGCGAGCACGGCGAGCGAGGGACGCGUAAAGGUGUGUCACAAACCAACGGAUUGGCACAUGGGGACAUCGAAAUAUUCGCAACAGCCCGAGGAGCCGGAAGUCAUUAUCGAAUUGUCUACUCAUAAAUGUUUACAGUUUAUCAAUAUUUUCACAUAAAUAGUAAUAUUUCCACAUAGUACAGUGCAAGGUGAGGUCCGAAAUCGCUGACAACAUUAGGUAAUAAGAGAAAAUAUAUACAAAGCAAUAUAAGGUAUAUGUAUAGCUUGGAAAUUGUGAUCGUUGCUCGCUCGCUGUGCUCGCUCGUAAAAAUCUAGUCCCACCUCACAACCGAUCCGACACGUUCCCAAAUUUGAAAUAAGUCUCCUCCAUAUCAAAUAUCGAACGCAAGAGGGAUAG